GGGCGGUGUCUCAUUUGGUUUCAUUUGGGGGUGGGUUUUGUGGGGAGCGACCGAGACCUCUCAUAAAUCGGCCGUGGUGGUGUGGUGUGGAGGCGGCGCCUAGUUUGUUCUCCGGAUCACCACUUGCUCGCUUGCGGCGUCGGCCGUCGCCUUUUCCCGGUCCCGCUCCCCUGGUGGUUCAAGCAUCGGGAGCGCAUUGACGCCGGUUUCGAUCGCAGCCUUCCCGAUCUACUCUCUUCGGCUGACGGGAUCCGUGAGCUCUCUCAGAUCUCUCUUCCGUGUUCUCCGAGUCUCUGCUGAUUUAUUUGACUCUUUUGGUGUUCUAUAUGAGAAAUAAGUCGUCGUCUUGGCGAUCCAGUCAACUUGUCUAUUUCAUGCCGGCCGCAGCAUGUGUGGUGGUCCGGAGCGCAUAAAGCCUUCAUCGUCGUCGUCGCCGGCUCCAACCUCACGGGGAGAGCAUCAGCAACACGGUCCGGUCUUGGGAAUGAAUCAUCUCACCGUCGAGAUCGCUGACUCCUCGAGCCUCCUUGAACUCGCAGCCAACAACGAUGCGGAAGCAUUCGGGCGAUCCCUCGAUCGUGACCCGUUGGCCGUGGACGACGUCGGCCUCUGGUACGGCCGCAGGAAGGGCUCCAACCGCAUGGUGCUCGAGCACCGAACUCCCCUGAUGGUGGCGGCCACGUACGGCAGCCUUGACGUCCUCAAGUUCAUCCUCUCCCUGCCGUCUGUCGAGGUCAACCGUGCGUCCGCCCCAGACAACACCACCGCGCUCCACUGUGCUGCAUCCGGCGGAUCCUUUGAUGCUGUUGAUGCCGUGAAGGCACUCCUCGCGGCUGGUGCCGAUCCUACGUUGGUCGAUGUCAAUGGGGACCGCCCGGCCGAUGUGAUUGUCGUGCCUCCCAAGUUGCCUGAUGUGAAGAGUGCCCUCGAACAGCUUCUUGGAAGGCGCAGUAAUGCGUCGGGUGGUGGUGCCGAUCACCAUCAUCUUCCCCUUGGUGUGAUGACCGACUCGACGAGCUCCAAUUCGCCACCGCGUUCUUUGUCCCCUGAUGAGGACGGCACUCGAUCGUCCAACUCGACUUCCUCUCCUCCGACGGCAAAGGACCCUGACCUUCCCCCGGUGAGGGUGUCCGAGAAGAAAGAGUAUCCAGUAGACCCGUCGCUUCCAGAUAUCAAGAACAGCAUAUAUACCACGGAUGAGUUCCGUAUGUUCUCCUUCAAGAUCCGCCCGUGCUCUCGUGCUUAUUCGCAUGACUGGACCGAGUGCCCCUUCGUCCACCCUGGUGAGAACGCCCGGCGGCGUGACCCGAGGAAAUACCACUACAGCUGCGUCCCGUGCCCUGACUUUCGGAAGGGGUCGUGCCGGAGGGGAGACAUGUGUGAGUAUGCACAUGGGGUGUUCGAAUGCUGGCUUCACCCGGCGCAGUACCGCACGAGACUCUGCAAGGAUGGAACCAGUUGCUCCCGCCGGGUCUGUUUCUUUGCGCACACGAACGAGGAGCUGCGUCCGCUCUAUGUGUCAACUGGCUCUGCUGUUCCUUCUCCACGUGCAACCUCUGCUGCAAUGGAGAUGGCAGCUGCGAUGGGGCUCAUGCCCGGCUCGCCGUCAUCGGUCUCUGCUGUUAUGUCUCCCUUCACGCCACCCAUGUCGCCGUCGGCCAAUGGUAUUGGACACUCUUCGUUGGGUUGGCCGCAGCCAAACAUGCCCACGUUGAAUCUUCCUGCAAGCAAUCUCCAGGCAAGCAGGCUGCGCUCAUCUCUCAGUGUGAGAGACAUCCCUCCGGAUGACCUCUCAGCAAUAUCCGAGUUUGAUACCCAGCAGUUGUUGAAUGACCUGUGCUACUCCCGUCUGAGUUCUUCUGCUGGGAAUUGUACCAUCCGAACCAAUACACUGAAUCCAUCAAACCUUGAUGAUCUUUUUUCAGCAGAGGUCGCCAUAUCUCCAAGGUACAAUUCUGAUCAGGGGGCUGUGUUUUCUCCGUCACACAAGGCAGCUAUACUCAACCAGUUCCAGCAGCAGCAGAGCCUGCUCUCACCCAUUAAUACAAGUGUGUUCUCACCGAAGGCGGUGGAUUCUCAGCAGCUACCUGCUCAUUCAUCACUCUUACAGGCCUCUCUGAAUACCUCUUCUCCUGGUGUCAUGUCUCCACGAAGCAUGGAGCCUGUCUCUCCUGUGAGUUCUCGUCUGGCUGUUCUUUCACAAAGGGAGAGGCAACAGCAGACACUCAGGAGCCUGAGCUCCCGUGAUCUUGGUCCCAUCUCAUCUCCUGUUGUUGGCUCUCCUGUUAACUCAUCAUGGUCCAAGUGGGCAUCCCCCUCCGGUACACCUGAUUGGACAGUGAAUGGUGAAGAGCUGGGACGUCUUAGACGAUCAUCAUCCUUUGAAUUACGAGGAAAUGGGGACGAGCCUGAUCUGUCAUGGGUCCAUUCACUAGUGAGGGAAUCACCACCGGAGAAAGUGAUCUCUGCUGCAAUGGCUUCUGCUGGUCCUUCAAGCUUGUCUGCGGUUGGUGGUGAGAAUUUAAAUUCAAACGGUCAGAUGAAUGGGCAUGAUCAACCUGCAUUGCUUGGUGCAUGGCUUGAGCACCAAGAAAUUUUGGAUGGGAAGCAUUCAGUAAUAUUUAACAGUAAUAUUUAAUGACUCUUAUUAUACAAUAUUUUUUGGUUGGUUGGUGAAGAAGGAAAAGAUGCAGAAAGGAGUGAUUUCAGAGAUUCAUUUCUUCAAAAACCGAUUUAUUAUAAACUUCAUGGAGUUCAGUCAAUUCAAAUAUAGGGGUUGAAUCAAGACCGACUCCAGAUGCAGUCAUGGUGGUGGGGCAAGUUAUAGGAAAUUCGGGAAGAACUUAGUCAUGCAGCAUAAUAUUUUAUGGAUGUGUGUUGUUGCCAUCUCUUAUUCCUUACUGACUUUGUGGGAUCCUAAUGGAAGCUUAUGAUGGUGACUGCCUUUUGGAUAUGUUGUAUGCAAUCUCUCAAGCAAACAAAGUUCUCUACGAAGAUGGUGAUUUGUGAUGGUUCAAGUCCUUCCUUAAUGCCCUGUAGUGAGCAUGUCUGGGUUUUGAGGUGUCCUUUCCAAGGUUGUGCAAGAAAAAUCAACAUCAAUGUUUGGGAAUUUAUUAUCGCUUUUGUGGUCUAGAUGUCAAUUUCAUCUUGAGGUAGAAAUGAACUUGUGACACCUAACUGGGAUGGUUAAUAUGGAAUGUGUCGAUUGAUUAUUGGAUGUAGAUGGUUGAGAGUUUGGCAUUGUUAGGUGAACAAAACAGUUGUCCUAACCAGUGCUGCUACCUUGGGAUAGCAUUGAUCACUUUUGAGUCUUUUGGUGGCAACCGUGGGUUAUAGGGACCACAUUUGUGUGUACUUUUUUGUGUUAAGGGACUUUGCAUCUUCUCUUCAACCCUUGGCUGUAUGACAUUAUCAGAAUUACAAGUGGAGGAACUCAGACAUGUUAUCUUGCUUGAUGGGCCAAGUAGGUGGUGGGUUUAACUCACUGAUGGAGCUUGGAGAUCUUUGUGGAAGUUUGCUGACGAAGGCAUCCAGGAUUCAGUGGAUGGGCACUGGGAGAGCCUUAACAAUCUACAGAAGAUGCCAUAACCAUGAAGGUUAUGCAAAGAAAUCGGACUUGGAGAUUAUUAUUAGGGAGCAUUGGCUACAUGUGAAAAUGCCAAGAAAGUUCAUCCAACAUAUGGCCUACCAUGCAGUUUCAUGUCAGAGGUAGGUGACAUGUAUGUUGCUUUUACUUUUGUUGGCAGUAUAAAGGUGAGCAGGAGAUUGUUUCAGAGUGAUUGACUCUUUAUUAAUUUGUGAUAUGUGUUGGAUGUUAUGCAUCUGUCCUUACCUUUUUCUUUUC